CUUUGCAAAUGGAUAAUAUUUUGCACCUCUUUUUCACAAAUAGAGGUAUGUGGAUCAAGAUGAGAUAAUGAUGGAUUUUUCCACAAAAUUUCCCGUUUGUUUCACCAACUUCUCCCCCUAAUUUUGGGAAAAGUGUCUCAUCGAAUCGACAUACUGCAAAUCGUGCAGUGAACAAAGUCCCUGUCAAUGUUUCGAGGUAGUGAAUAAUGGAGGGCGAUUCAAACCCAACAAAUAUUCCUAACCUUCUUUGCGGACCCAUAUUGGUGCGAUAUGGCGGUGCGAU
rnacentral:lncRNA from 1 species